GAUGAACGCUGGCGGCGUGCCUAAUACAUGCAAGUCGAGCGAAUGGAUUAAGAGCUUGCUCUUAUGAAGUUAGCGGCGGACGGGUGAGUAACACGUGGGUAACCUGCCCAUAAGACUGGGAUAACUCCGGGAAACCGGGGCUAAUACCGGAUAACAUUUUGAACCGCAUGGUUCGAAAUUGAAAGGCGGCUUCGGCUGUCACUUAUGGAUGGACCCGCGUCGCAUUAGCUAGUUGGUGAGGUAACGGCUCACCAAGGCAAAGAUCGGUAUCCGGCCUGAGAGGGCGGACGGACACACUGGGACUGAGACACGGCCCAGACUCCUACGGGAGGCAGCAGUGGGGAAUUGUUCGCAAUGGGCGCAAGCCUGACGACGCAACGCCGCGUGGAGGACGAAGAUCUUCGGGUCGUAAACUCCUUUCGAUCGGGAAGAACGUUUCCGGGGUGAACAAUCCCGGGAAGUGACGGUACCGAGAGAAGAAGCCCCGGCUAACUCCGUGCCAGCAGCCGCAGUAA
rnacentral:rRNA from 1 species